GCCGCGGUGGCGAAACUGGCAGACGCGCAGGAUUUAGGAUCCUGUGAUUGAAAGAUCAUGAGAGUUCAACUCUCUCCCGCGGCA
rnacentral:tRNA from 1 species